rnacentral:lncRNA from 1 species
AAAAACUCCAAGAAUCUUCAAGAACUCACAAGAGCCAAAAUCCAAAAAUCUCCACAAAACCUUGAUCAAUUUGGAUUCUUCUUUUUGCAUUGAUUUCCUAUUGUCCAUUACUCCAUCUGUUUGUGCAAGGAAGCUACCAUAGCCGCGCCAUACACCACUGUACAAAGAAGGUCCUCACAUGGUGAUUUCGAAUUGCAAGAACUAGGAGCACAAUUGAGCAAAACGGAGCUUCACAUCACUCUUCCUAUAGCCAAUACUGUUGCUGUUUUGCCAAAGCGUGCACCGAUUCGUCCCGAG